UACAGAGGGUGCAAGCGUUGUUCGGAAUUACUGGGCGUAAAGCGCGUGUAGGCGGUUGUUCAAGUCAGGUGUGAAAGCCUUGAGCUCAACUCAAGAAAUGCACUUGAUACUGGAUGACUAGAGGACCGGAGAGGAUAGUGGAAUUCCCAGUGUAGUGGUGAAAUACGUAGAGAUUGGGAAGAACACCAGUGGCGAAGGCGGCUAUCUGGACGGUUUCUGACGCUAAGACGCGAAAGCGUGGGGAGCAAACAGG
rnacentral:rRNA from 1 species